rnacentral:rRNA from 1 species
UGCUGGGGGUGGAUGAGUGGCGAACGGGUGAGUAACACGUGAGUAACCUGCCCCGAACUCUGGGAUAAGCGCUGGAAACGGCGUCUAAUACUGGAUAUGUCCUAUCACCGCAUGGUGUGUAGGUGGAAAGAAUUUUGGUUCGGGAUGGACUCGCGGCCUAUCAGCUAGAUGGUGAGGUAAUGGCUCACCAUGGCGACGACGGGUAGCCGGCCUGAGAGGGUGACCGGCCACACUGGGACUGAGACACGGCCCAGACUCCUACGGGAGGCAGCAGUGGGGAAUAUUGCACAAUGGGCGCAAGCCUGAUGCAGCAACGCCGCGUGAGGGAUGACGGCCUUCGGGUUGUAAACCUCUUUUAGUAGGGAAGAAGCGAAAGUGACGGUACCUGCAGAAAAAGCACCGGCUAACUACGUGCCAGCAGCCGCGGUAAUACGUAGGGUGCAAGCGUUGUCCGGAAUUAUUGGGCGUAAAGAGCUCGUAGGCGGCUUGUCGCGUCUGCUGUGAAAACCAGAGGCUCAACCUCUGGCCUGCAGUGGGUACGGGCAAGCUAGAGUGCGGUAGGGGAGAUUGGAAUUCCUGGUGUAGCGGUG